rnacentral:rRNA from 1 species
UGCUCCUACGGGGCGCAGCAGUGAGGAAUAUUGGUCAAUGGGCGGAAGCCUGAACCAGCCAAGUCGCGUGAGGGAAUAAGGCCCUACGGGUCGUAAACCUCUUUUGCCGGGGAGCAAGGUCGGGUACGUGUCCCGGCCCGGAGUGUACCCGGCGAAAAAGCAUCGGCUAACUCCGUGCCAGCAGCCGCGGUAAUACGGAGGAUGCGAGCGUUAUCCGGAUUUAUUGGGUUUACAG